rnacentral:rRNA from 1 species
GGAGGUUACUGCUAUCGGUGUUCGCCUAACCCAUGCGAGUCAUAUGUUCUUCGUGAACAUGGCGUACUGCUCAGUAACACGUGAAUAACCUGCCCUUGGGACCGGCAUAACCCCGGGAAACUGGGGAUAAUUCCGGAUACCGCAUAUAUGCUGGAAUGCUUUAUGCGUGAAAUGGAUUCGUCUGCCCAAGGAUGGGUCUGCGGCCUAUCAGGUAGUAGUGGGUGUAAUGUACCUACUACCCUACAACGGGUACGGGUUGUGAGAGCAAGAGCCCGGAAAUGGAUUCUGAAACAUGAAUCCAGGCCCUACGGGGCGCACCAGGCGCGAAAACUUUACAAUGCGGGAAACCGUGAUAAGGGGACACCGAGUGCCACCAACAUUUGUUGGCUGUCCAGGUGUGUAAACUACACCUGUUAGCAAGGGCCGGGCAAGACCGGUGC